UAAUCCAAAAUUUUUCCUAUCUUCUCUAACAUCUCAACCCCUGGCCAUCUCUCUCAGGAUACUGGCACUGCAAAACAACUUGCUGGACUGGGACAACUUUUUGGUGAAUUUGGAUCACAGGGUUCAGAAGAAGGAGGAGGAGAUGCAGGAGGAGAAGGAGAUGAUGGCACUCCAAAAGAACUUUUUGGACUGGGACAACUGUUUGGUGAAUUUGGAUCACAGAGUUCAGAAGCAGGAGGGGGAGAUGCAGGAG
rnacentral:lncRNA from 1 species